CUGGAGCCAAAGCCGGGCCUCACUUCGUCUGUUACCUCUGGUAACGGGGGACAGAGUCACUGGGGUGCCCCCUGUACAUGCACUGCCUGACUGGCUCCUCUGACCCAGCUCCCUGUCUGUCCGGGCGGGGCUUGAGUGCUUGGUUCCCCAGAUGUCUCGGGGACCGUAAGGUGCAAGGAGCCGAAAUCCACUCAAGUUGGCUCAAAUAAAGGGAGUGGGAACUCGCGGGGAUCGGAUGUCACUGGACUUCAGGAGAGCUGGCGUCGGGACCAGGGGCGUUCUCCAGGCUGAUUUGGGGCCAUCCGGGCCCUUGGCUCUGCCUCUCCCCGCACAUCUUCCGCUGGUAGACCAGCACUCUCUCUCAGGUCUUGCUCUCAUGACGUUGGUUCGCAUGUGGGUUUGACCAGCUGUGACACUCCAGCCGAUACUCUAGACCAUCUUUUUUUUUUUUUUUAAUUUUUAAAUGUUUAUUUGGAGAUAGAGUGUGUGCGUAUGCGUGUGAGUGAGUGGGGGGGGGGGUCAGAGAGAGCGAGAGAGAGAAUCCGAAGCAGGCUCUGCGCUAUCAGCACAGAUCCUGACGUGGGGCUCAAACCCACAAACUAUGAGAUCAUGACCUGAGCCGAUAUCAAGAGUCAGGCACAACCAACGGAGCCACCCGGGGGGCCCUAGACAACCUUCUAGAGACCUCGGUGUCUCUGUUUCUUGGGUCCAGUUCAAGGAGAGGCGAUCUGAUGGGUUGGUGACCACUUCUUGGACUGGCUGACCUUGAAUGUGGCUCUCCCUGGCUCAGUCAGCUGCGACUUGGGUGGAUGGGCACGCUCUGCGUGGUGCAAACAUGACCACCAGGUCGAGUGAAGAAUGAGGGCCGAGUUACAUCAGGAUUUAAAAUCCAAAAAUUGUGUAACCAUAAUUAAAAAGAAUGAGGGCGUGUUCUGGUGAGGGGGACCAGAACAUGUCUGUUAAUCGUGAGCCAUUCUGAGUAUUGGUUUCUCUACUUCGAGGAGUUGAUGGUGGGAUUAAUUUAUUUAGAGCCUGAGCCCCACAGCUCUCUCCUGUGUCCACACUUUGUGGAACUCAGCUGUGCCACCUGCCAGUCGCCCCCCAACCUUCUCUCUCCAGCUGUUCUAAACGUUGGUUGUCCUCCCCCAGCUGUGAUGCCCUCUUACGUUACUGGGCCUCUUUCCUUGGGGGCAUUUGGAGGGUUGAUAUGUGGAGGAGUCCCCUCCCCGCACAACACACGCUGGGCCGGUUCGCUUUCCAGCCGGGGCUUUCUCUACCGCCGGCGCCUUCCACCCCGAUCACCGCCCAGAGCGGCCGUUCCCUGAGGAAGAUCCUGGAUCCGACGGGGACGGCUUCCUAAAGCCGGGGCUGCAGCCCCCUUCCCAGCUGGACGGCCUCAAACAUUUUUUGCACCAGGUAAGCGAGGGCCCACCCAUCCUACCUCGUUUCCUUCUCCCCUUCCUCAUUCUCUCUCCCCUCCAGGAGUCCAGGACUGUGGCUGCAGCCGCCUUUCGGGACUGACAGCUUCUCUCGCGGUCUGUCUAGAUUCCCAUCGCCUAAGUUCUGGAAGGCGGCCAUCCCUGGCCCUUUCUUCCCUCUGCCUCCCUCACAUUCCCAGGGCUCUUUCUUCACUGGUCCUCAGGGAGCCUCACUGUCUUGUCCCCGCAGCUGCUGGAGAUAGUACCGCAGAGCAGCGAGGCCCCCUCUGUUGAGCUGUUGCCCCCGAAGUCUGGUGAGUGGGGAAGGUGGGAGCCACGGAGGUGCGAGAGCCUAACGGAGGCGAGGCGAUAGGGCUUUCUCGGCUCCUGCUCUGUUUCCCGAGCCCUGCGUCUCUUGCCUUUCGCUAGGCCCCCUGACUGUCCCGUCUUGGGAGGAGGCCCCGCAGGUGCCACACCUCCCGCCCCCUGUUCAUAAGACUAAAGUGCCCCUGGCCAUGGCGUCCAGUCUCUUCCGGGCUCACGAGCUUCCCUCAAGCCAUUCACAGAGCAGCGGCCUCCGGGCGGGCUCCCCAGAGCGCGAUGAGCGGCCGGGAGGUGAGGAGGAAAGGUGCUGGCUGCGGGGCCUGGGGAGGCGGAGCGAGGGCCCUGGCGUGACGAGCGUCACCGUCGCGCCUCAGGUGGGGACGGGCUCGCACCAGCGCGGCAGCUGAUGGAUGUGUCGCAGCUGCUACGACUGUACCAAGCUCGGGGCUGGGGGGCUCUGCCCGCUGAGGACCUGCUGCUCUACCUGAAGAGGCAGGAACACGGCAGGUACCAGCCUGGAGGGAGGGGAGGAGGGUUAGACGGAUGGAGCCUGGACCCUUGGGAGAUGGCCCAGGCAGGGGAGGGAGGGUUGGGUGCUGUCCACCGAGAGGCAUCCGUUCUCUUCCGGGGCAGCCGGUGCGGGCAAGCGGAGGCCCAGCCGUCCCCUCUCUUCCUCUGCGACUUGCUGUUCCCGCCACUGUUUGUUCUCCUUCCCGAGAGACUGGGGAAUAGCUUUCCCUCCGAUGUCGGGGAGCCCCCCGUCCUCACCCUCCAUUUGUGUGGCAGGACGGACAGCCGGGGGGAUAAUGUCCCCAGAAGGAACACGGACUCCCGCUUGGGUGAGAUCCCCCGGAAAGAGGUGAGGGAAAGUGAGGCGGGGGCGAGGGGCGUGCAAGGGCCCUCACCGACUGGUUCCUCCCCGGCCGGCUCCUUGUCUGUUGCCUCACCUCUGUUUCCCGUCUGUCUUCUGUAGCGUGGUCUCCCCUUGGCUGGCUGACCGUGGCCCUCUCCAUGCACGGUGCCUUUCUGGGGUGGUGGGGAGGCUGACCCCCUUCUCUCCUCCCUCCCCUCCCAGAUCCCCUCCCAGGCUCUCCCUCGCCGCCUGGCUGCUGCAGCCCCUAGGACGGACAAGCCUCCCGCACGCAGGAAGGGCGGGCACCCGGCCCCCAGCAGCACGAGGAGUCGGGGGGGCAUCUGGAGAUGAGCCCCUCGCCCUGUCUGCUCUUCUCCUAAUAAAUGUUCCAGAGUCUGUAUUCGGGUCUCUGACUCCUCGGAAUUUGACAAAAUGGAGAUUUUAUAAGAAGCUACUUUGUAAAGAAACCUCAUUCUAUUUAAGUAUGUUUUUUACAUGUUACACGUUUGUUUUCUCUUCGGGGGAAAAGACACGAAUGCUUCGAAGAAAGCCCGCCUCUGGCUGGCUUUGAGAACACUCAGUGAGCUUAGGCCCGGCGUGUCACGAGCGGAGCAUACAGGGUGAUUGGCUGUGGUUGGGAGUGGAAUUAUGGAUGAUUCUAAUUUUCUUCUUCAGACAUUUCUAUAUUUUCCACAUUUUCUAAAGCAAGUUUGUAUUAAUCAGAACAGACAAAUUUUUAAUAAAAGAGUAAGUUAAUUGUAUGAAGAGUUUGAGUAAAAAUUUGAUUCGUGGGGAGGCUUUUGGCUUUGAGGAGCAGUGACCCUUGCGGACUGCGUUAGCAGGGUGCAGACUGACC
rnacentral:lncRNA from 1 species